UACGUAGGCAGCAAGCGUUGUUCGGAGUUACUGGGCGUAAAGGGUGUGUAGGCGGUUGUUUAAGUUUGGUGUGAAAUCUCCCGGCUCAACUGGGAGGGUGCGCCGAAUACUGAAUGACUAGAGUGCGGGAGAGGUGAGUGGAAUUCCUGGUGUAGCGGGUGAAAUGCGUAGAUAUCAGGAGGAACACCGGUGGUGUAGACGGCUCACUGGACCGUAACUGACGCUGAAACACGAAGCGUGGGUAGCAAACAGG
rnacentral:rRNA from 1 species